GGGGUUGUGGCUCAGUGGUAGAGCACUCACCUAGUCCGCGUGAGGCCCUGGGUUCAAUCCUCAGCACCA
rnacentral:tRNA from 1 species